GAUAAACGCUGGCGCGCACAUAAGACAUGCAAGUCGAACGGACUUAACUCAUUCUUUACGAUUGAGAGCGGUUAGUGGCGGACUGGUGAGUAACACGUAAGCAACCUGCCUAUCAGAGGGGAAUAACAGUGAGAAAUCAUUGCUAAUACCGCAUAUGCUCACAGUACCACAUGGUACAGUGAGGAAAGGAGCAAUCCGCUGAUAGAUGGGCUUGCGCCUGAUUAGCUAGUUGGUGGGGUAACGGCCUACCAAGGCGACGAUCAGUAGCCGGACUGAGAGGUUGAACGGCCACAUUGGGACUGAGAUACGGCCCAGACUCCUACGGGAGGCAGCAGUGGGGAAUAUUGGGCAAUGGGGGAAACCCUGACCCAGCAACGCCGCGUGAAGGAAGAAGGCCUUCGGGUUGUAAACUUCUUUUAGCAGGGACGAAGAACGUGACGGUACCUGCAGAAAAAGCAACGGCUAACUACGUG
rnacentral:rRNA from 1 species